ensembl:lncRNA
CAUUUAUCCUGACAGUAAUCCCUUGAGGUAGGUAUUAUCCUCAUAUAUUCCAGUGCUAUUACUCUCCUCACCAUACAGACGAGGAGAAGGAGGCCCAGAGACCUUCCACACCUCGCCCGGCGUCUCCUGGAUGGUCCGUGGGUCGUGGAGACAGGCUUUGCGUGCAGUGCUCAGGAAGCUCUCUGCUCCGGGCCCCGGGUCAGGGCCAUGAAGACUUAUAAUGAGUACAAGUCUCCAACUGAGCAAAUCCUAACUCAUGGGAGCUUGUGCUUAACUGGAACCUGGCUUGUCCUGAUUCACAAUAACCGCAUUUUCCCAUCUUAAUUUGGAGCAGCCGUAUUGCAAGUGCUCGGCGGCCACAUAUGGUCCAUGACCACUGCACUGAGCCGUGUGCCCUCACCCGCGGGCCAUCAUGCCUGAGUCUUUGAAGACCGUGACAUCCGGGUUUACCGGACUGUAUUUAUUGAGGAAGAAGAUUUUCCUUUUUUCAACAAAGGCGAUGCCACCAUAUGGAUCGAAUUCCGUCUUCAAAUGGAAAGAGAUAUUUUCAAACAUCCUUGAAUUGAGCAUGCAGAAUGAGGGCGGCAUGAUGCUUACAUACCCACUAAUCUCUGUUAUGACAUGUCUGCAUGACGGAGAGGAUCAUACUCCUGGGUUGAGGAAAGGAGGGCUGUCCACAGAUGACACAAUCAAGAGAUGCAGUGGCCCACAGAGAAUGCAAACGGACAAAAAGACUCACCAUUCCAGCUGCCUUUUAAAAGAAAAUGCCAAUUAAGGAAAAAAAUCGCCUUUCCAAAGAAAUGAUAUAGCAAAAGGGGAAGUAAUAGAAUACUGUCUUUCUUCACAAGAAACUAUUUUUCUUAUCAGACUCUUUCUGGUUAUGGGUUAACACGGGAGGAACACCAGACCGAGGCCUUAUGCAAAGAGCGGGAAAUCCAAAGGACGCUGUCCAGACAAGGUCAGGAUUCACGGAUUUUACUCAGAGACCCAGGGAUGCAUAUUCCUUGUGUUGAAAUCACUGCAGCCUUCUUCUCCAUGGCCAGAUCUGGAAAGAGGCCUUUUGGACAUGAUCUCAAUUGUGAGAACACUCCUAAUAUGUUCCAUAUUUACAGGCUCAAAAGCAUUUUUAAUGAGUGGAGUAUGGCGAUGCCUUGCCAGUGUGUCUGCAGAUGACUCAAUCUGUAUGCACACACCCAAAUGCACACACACUUGGAAAAGGGAAACCAUGGAGUUGCACAAACUGGAGGCAGGAGGUCCAGUUUCACCACCACAGGAGUUUGAAAACCCGUUUUCAGAGCUGCUUUUUGUAGAGGAGCAGGUAAUGAGUGCCCUGUGUGCUGCCUGACCCUUGCUAAGUUCUCCAUGAGCUCUGCUGUUCAUUCUCGCUGCACCCCAGAUUUUCAAGGUCAUCUGUUUCAUUUUUACUGCUUUCCUACCAGGUAGGUCAUCAUAUUUCUGUUUCUCUUUGUUGUGUGGCGAGGUCAUUAUAUUUCUCUGAUUUUUGUUUAUAUUGUAACAAAAUCAAUAUUUUUGUUAUAGUUGUCAUAGGUGUGUGUUUAAGAGGAUUCUGAGAGGCUAAAUGACAUGUCUAAAGUUUCACUGUUAGAAAGUGGCAAUUUUAGGACUGGAACUCCAGACUUCAGAGUUUAUACUCAGCCAUAACCCAGCUCUAGUGUCUUCUCCAGGACAGAAAAGACAGCAGAGCAGGAAAUAAAAGUGCUGGGGCUGUGUCUACACACACUAACAAAGGCAGUGGGAGAGAAGCAGGCAGUUGUUCAGAUAAUUCAGAAUAUAACAAGUUAAAAAAAAAAAGAGGUUUGUGGUGAGGAAGCUGGUGUUUCUGGACUGAUGAUAUGUGGGGGGCAAAUUCUGCCAGUAGGAUCUUGUAAACAUUGGCCUCCAGCACUUGGGUG